CCUAGGACCUCAGGAGCACAACCUGAGCCAAAGGCAGACGCCCAACUGACUGAGCCACCGAGGCAUCCUUUAUUGCUGCCUUUACACAAGCCUUUUCUGCUCUCCCUUUCCCGGUCACCGCUGGCAACACAUCCACUGUCAGCCAUGAGAGCUGUCACAUUUUCAGAUGUUGGAAGUCCAGUCCAGUGCAACACAAAACUGCACCUCCUGCUCCAAUUCCAGCUCCUCAUCUCCUUCCCCUUCUGCCUGAAACACGUGGUUCAGGAAUCUGCCACGGGAUCAGACAGUGAUGAUUUCCUGCAUGUGUGAUUGGCGUGGAGCUGCUCCUCGUUCUUCUGAAGAUGGCUCAGCACUGUGCCUCCCAGCCAUCCCUUGUCACCCAUGAGCAGCCCGAGCCACCGACUUUCAAAAAGUUAACAAACCAGAGAACCUGGCCAGGCUCUGCCCUGCACCUUUUUGUUUCUCCUGAUAUUCUGUAAACCUGGACAGGAUUUCUGCUUUUCUGAAGAAAGACAAAAACAGCAUUCAGUGUGUGUUUGACAGGGAGCCCGUGAUGGAGACAGCGCAGGGCCCACAGAUCCCCUUCCCCAGGAACUCCACUCUGCAUCUCUGCACUAAGCCACCACCACUUCGACCUGGGUCUGUGAACAUCUGUGCUCUACUUCAAUUUAUCUUGUGCAUCCGUUAGCAAGAUGUGUCCUAAGGUAUAAGUAAAGCCUAAAAGAGGUCAUUUUUGGGGUGUGGGGAUGCUCAAAAACAUUUCCACGUAAAUGAAUGGUAGCUGCUUCUUCGCGUUAUGCCAUUUCAACUUAGGAAGGGUUUCCUAGGAAUGCUCUCUCGUCACAUGGUAGGGGAACCCGGUAUCUCAAAUUAAGAACCGAGAGCACAGGUAAAUAGGAAGAAAGGAAUGACAGACGUUCUUGAAACUCUUGGUUCCAGAUGAGGUUAUAUUCAUAGCACUAGGAAUAAGCCCUCCAUCCUUUGCUUCAGAAAUUUAUCACCCUGGAAAUCAGAUAUUUUUGAGCAGCUCAGUUGCCAUUUUUAAUGGAUUUAAAAAAUUCUAUGGAAGUCUCCCACAUGCUAGAGUCUUCCAUAUAUGUUUCUUGUUAGAUGGACUCAGUAUGUUUUAGCUUUGGCUUGUUAAAGUUAUUUACAUGGCCUAAGGUCAAAUGGUGUUGUUUCACAUUUUGCUUGACGGAAAUGUCACUGGACUGCAUUGUUUUUAUAGGAAAAGAUCAGUUUCAGCGAGGUGGUAGAGAACUUCACUUCCAAUGUGUCUGUUUAGCAAUACAUUCACCAGGCAUUCACCUCUUCUGGAGAAGAUAUAAAACAGUGAGGUCUGUAUCUGGAGUUUCAGGGUGGUGGUUCCUGAUCUGAGAGGGGCUGGUUCGCACGUUGUCAUGCUCACACACCAGCAAGGGAGAAGGUCAAGCAUAACAUUCUUUCCAACAGAGGCAAUGGAGCGGUGGCUUUGCUCGCUCGAGAAUUAUGUAAGAAAUUGAGAUGUCUGGAGGUCAUCGAUGGUAACCGGAGGAGAAAAUUGAACUGAACAGGCUGCUUCCACUUAGUGAGGCUCCUCUAGGAGAUUAUUUACAAGUCUCAGAGUC